CUCCUCUUUGCCAAGCUAAAGAGGCUCCCCGUAAAAGUGAGGCUCCUUUCGUUACUUAUAGUAGCAACGCCGCUCCAACCCCAAAGAAUAAAAGGUUCUUCUACUGGUAUAUAUAACAAUGGUAGAACCUCGGCGUUUACUCAUGAUAUUCUUUUUGUCGACGUUGUUGAUUGCUUAUAGCAAUGCAAAUGUCGAAGAGAUUCAGAAGGAUACCGAGGAAGGGGACGAAGAAGGUAAGGUAGGAGGUCAGAAGGCUCAGGGCGUGACAUAUGACGCAAGGUCCUUGAUCAUCAAUGGCAAACGAGAGCUUCUCUUUCGGGAGCUAUCCAUUACCCACGUAGCACCCCAGAUAUGUGGCCGGACCUGAUUAAAAAAGCUAAGCAGGGAGGCAUCAAUACGAUUGAGACGUAUGUUUUCUGGAAUGGACACGAACCAGUUGAGGGACAGUACAACUUUGAAGGAGAAUUUGACUUGGUGAAGUUCAUCAAGUUGAUUCAUGAGCAUAAGUUGUAUGCAGUCGUUAGGGUUGGCCCCUUUAUCCAGGCUGAAUGGAAUCACGGAGGAUUACCAUAUUGGUUAAGAGAGGUCCCCGGCAUCAUUUUCCGAUCCGAUAAUGAACCUUUCAAGAAACACAUGAAAAGGUUUGUGACCAUGAUUGUUGACAAACUGAAGCAAGAGAAGUUGUUUGCUCCACAAGGAGGACCUAUUAUUUUAGCACAGAUCGAGAAUGAAUACAACACUAUUCAACGAGCAUUCAGGGAAAAAGGGGAUAGUUAUGUUCAAUGGGCUGGAAAACUGGCCCUUAGCUUGAAUGCCAAUGUCCCAUGGAUCAUGUGCAAGCAGAGGAUGCCCCAGAUCCCGUUAUCAAUACAUGCAAUGGAAGGCACUGUGGAGAUACUUUCUAUGGUCCAAAUAAGCGCAACAAGCCGGCAUUGUGGACUGAGAACUGGACUGCACAGUAUAGAGUAUUCGGUGAUCCACCAUCCCAAAGGUCAGCUGAAGAUUUGGCAUACUCAGUUGCUCGAUUCUUCUCCAAAAUGGAAGCAUGGUCAACUACUAUAUGUACUAUGGUGGCACCAAUUUUGGCAGGACAAGUGCCUCAUUUACAACAACUCGUUACUAUGACGAAGCCCCUCUUGAUGAAUUUGGUCUUCAAAGGGAACCAAAGUGGGGUCAUCUUAAGGACGUCCACAGGGCCUUGAGUUUGUGCAAAAGGGCUCUAUUUUGGGGGGUUCCUACUACUCUAAAGUUGGGUCCAGAUCAACAGGCUAUAGUCUGGCAACAACCUGGAACUUCAGCUUGUGCGGCUUUCGUGGCCAACAAUAACACUCGUCUGGCACAACAUGUGAAUUUCAGGGGCCAGGACAUUCGCCUGCCGGCUCGUUCCAUUAGCGUCCUCCCUGAUUGCAAGACCGUGGUUUUCAACACUCAACUGGUCACAACUCAACAUAACUCAAGAAACUUUGUAAGAUCAGAAAUUGCAAACAAGAACUUUAACUGGGAGAUGUACAGGGAAGUCCCUCCUGUCGGACUUGGAUUUAAGUUUGACGUGCCAAGGGAGCUUUUUCAUUUGACCAAAGAUACAACCGACUAUGCUUGGUACACAACUAGCCUUAAGUUGGGUCGACGUGAUUUACCAAUGAAGAAAAAUGUCAGCCCAGUUUUACGGGUUGCAAGUCUUGGCCAUGGAAUCCAUGCCUAUGUAAAUGGUGAAUACGCCGGUUCUGCACAUGGGAGCAAAGUUGAGAAGAGCUUUGUUUUCCAGAGAGCUGUAAGCUUGAAGGAAGGGGAAAACCAUAUUGCUCUCUUAGGCUACUUAGUGGGACUCCCUGAUAGCGGAGCCUACAUGGAGAAAAGGUUUGCUGGGCCUCGUUCUAUCACCAUCCUUGGUUUGAACACUGGAACACUCGACAUAUCACAAAAUGGUUGGGGCCAUCAGGUUGGAAUUGAUGGAGAAAAGAAGAAAUUGUUUACUGAAGAAGGCUCAAAGUCUGUUCAGUGGACAAAGCCAGACCAAGGAGGACCAUUAACAUGGUACAAGGGAUAUUUUGAUGCACCAGAAGGGGACAACCCAGUUGCCAUUGUUAUGACUGGUAUGGGGAAGGGUAUGGUUUGGAUCAAUGGUAGAAGCAUUGGCCGAUAUUGGAACAAUUACCUUAGUCCUCUUAAGAAGCCAACACAAUCCGAGUACCACAUCCCACGGGCAUACUUGAAGCCAAAGAACCUGAUUGUCCUCCUUGAGGAAGAAGAAGGCAAUCCUAAAGAUGUCCAUAUAGUAACAGUGAACAGGGAUACAAUCUGCAGUGCUGUGAGUGAAAUUCACCCACCAUCCCCGAGAUUGUUCGAAACCAAAAAUGGUACUCUCCAACCCAAAGUGAAUGAUUUGAAACCAAGGGCUGAAUUAAUAUGUCCAGGCAAGAAGCAAAUCGUGGCAGUGGAGUUUGCCAGCUAUGGUGAUCCAUUUGGCGCUUGCGGAGCCUACUUUAUUGGAAAUUGCACAGCGCCAGAAUCCAAGCAAGUUGUUGAGAAGUAUUGCUUGGGGAAGCCCAGCUGCCAAAUCCCCCUAGAUAGCAUUCACUUCAGUGACCAAAAUGGCGCAUGUACCCAUCUCAGGAAGACUUUGGCCGUCCAAGUCAAAUGUGCCUAAACAAAUGCGUGCUUCGACACAGCUUGGGUUAAGCUUCACAUUUUAUUUUUUUUAAUUGAGCUAAGACGGUGCAUGGAGGAGUGCUUGAACUAUUUAUUUGUAUUUCUUAAAUAUUAAAUGAAGAUCUGCGAAUUCCAGAAUUACAAUAACUUGC